rnacentral:rRNA from 1 species
ACCUACGGGAGGCAGCAGUGGGGAAUAUUGCACAAUGGGGGAAACCCUGAUGCAGCAACGCCGCGUGAAGGAAGACGGUUUUCGGAUUGUAAACUUCUGUUCUUAGUGAAGAAGAAUGACGGUAGCUAAGGAGCAAGCCACGGCUAACUACGUGCCAGCAGCCGCGGUAAUACGUAGGUGGCAAGCGUUGUCCGGAAUUACUGGGUGUAAAGGGAGCUCAGGCGGGAAGCCAAGUCAGCUGUGAAAACUACGGGCUUAACUUGUAGACUGCAGUUGAAACUGGUUUUCUUGAGUGAUGUAGAGGU